rnacentral:lncRNA from 1 species
AGAUUCACAGUUUCUGAAAGGACCAUGGACUAAUUGGAUCACAAGCAAACUGAAACAUUACAGGAAAUAAUGCUGCAAAGCUGGGCAUAGUGACAUGCACCUGGAGUCCCAGCUACUUGGGAGGCUGAGGCAGGAGGAUUGCUUGAGCCCAGGAGUUCAAAGUUGCAGUGCACUAUCAUGGCACCUGCGAAGAGCCACUGCACUCGCACUCUAGCCAGGGGAGCAUAGUGACACUUCAUCUAUUACAAAAAAUUAUAUAAAAAUUAUAAAAAGAGAGAAUACUGAAUGAAUAUAUAUAUAUAUAGCCUUUGUAAAUUUUUCUUUAGCUUAUCUACCCAGGUGUUUGCAUUAUUUUACCAAAUAAUAGAAUUCACAUAAAUAUGCAGAGUUUUCAAAGAGACUGUAUUGAAGUUAAUGCUUGUGUACAUUAUUAUUUAGUGAAAAGUUAAAAAUGAUGGCAUAAUGUUUUGUUUCAUUUUCCCAUGUUAAUAGUAAGGUAUACCCAGAGUACAUUUCUUAUUAAGAAAAAAAAAGAUUGGGGUCACCUUGAUCAAAAAUUACCUGUAUACUAGUUCAAAUAUAUUAUAUAUGAACUACAGUUUAAGAAAUAUCAUCAAAUAUUAUUAAUAUAUUCUACUAUCUAAAAAUUCUGCUAUAGCAUUAUAUUUUAUGGCUAAAAAAGCUUGAUACUGGUUGUUACAGUAAAUCUUUACUAAUUUAUGAAGCAUCAAAUUCAGAUUUUUAAAAAUUAUGUCAAGCUCAAGCUAUUUAGAAUUCAGCAUAAUUUUAUAUACUACAUAAGAAGAAAACAGCUUAAAA